rnacentral:rRNA from 1 species
UUUCAACCCUCAAGCCCCAGCCGGCUUGGUGUUGGGGACCGGCCCCGGCCGCCCCCCAAAUGCAGUGGCGACCUCGCCGCAGCCUCCCCUGCGUAGUAGCACAACCUCGCACCGGAGCGCGGAGACGGUCACGCCGUAAAAUCGCCCAACUUCUCAGAGUUGACCUCGGAUCAGGUAGGAAUACCCUGUGAACUUAA